rnacentral:rRNA from 1 species
AUCGGUGACAGGUGGUGCAUGGUUGUCGUCAGCUCGUGUCGUGAGAUGUUGGGUUAAGUCCCGCAACGAGCGCAACCCCUAUUGUUAGUUGCCAUCAUUCAGUUGGGCACUCUAGCGAGACUGCCGGUAAUAAACCGGAGGAAGGUGGGGAUGACGUCAAAUCAUCAUGCCCCUUAUGACCUGGGCUACACACGUGCUACAAUGGUUGGUACAACGAGUUGCGAGUCGGUGACGGCGAGCUAAUCUCUUAAAGCCAAUCUCAGUUCGGAUUGUAGGCUGCAACUCGCCUACAUGAAGUCGGAAUCGCUAGUAAUCGCGGAUCAGCACGCCGCGGUCGAAUACGUUCCCGGGCCUU